CCAGACUCCUACGGGAGGCAGCAGUGGGGAAUAUUGCACAAUGGGGGGAACCCUGAUGCAGCGACGCCGCGUGAGUGAAGAAGUAUUUCGGUAUGUAAAGCUCUGUCAGCAGGGAAGAAGAAAGACGGUACCUGACCAAGAAGCCCCGGCUAACUACGUGCCAGCAGCCGCGGUAAUAUGUAGGGGGCAAGCGUUAUCCGGAUUUACUGGGUGUAAAGGGAGCGUAGACGGCAUGGCAAGUCAGAUGUGAAAGCCCGGGGCUCAACCCCGGGACUGCAUUUGAAACUGUCAGGCUGGAGUGCAGGAGAGGUAAGUGGAAUUCCUAGUGUAGCGGUGAAAUGCGUAGAUAUUAGGAGGAACACCAGUGGCGAAGGCGGCUUACUGGACUGUAACUGACGCUGAGGAGCGAAAGCGUGGGUAGCAAACAGGAUUAGAUACCCUAGUAAA
rnacentral:rRNA from 1 species